rnacentral:rRNA from 1 species
AUUGAACGCUGGCGGAAUGCUUUACACAUGCAAGUCGAACGGCAGCAUAGGUGCUUGCACCUGAUGGCGAGUGGCGAACGGGUGAGUAAUACAUCGGAACGUGCCCAGUCGUGGGGGAUAACGUAGCGAAAGUUACGCUAAUACCGCAUCCGAUCUAAGGAUGAAAGCGGGGGACCGUAAGGCCUCGCGCGAUUGGAGCGGCCGAUGUCAGAUUAGGUAGUUGGUGAGGUAAAGGCUCACCAAGCCGACGAUCUGUAGCUGGUCUGAGAGGACGACCAGCCACACUGGGACUGAGACACGGCCCAGACUCCUACGGGAGGCAGCAGUGGGGAAUUUUGGACAAUGGACGCAAGUCUGAUCCAGCCAUUCCGCGUGCAGGACGAAGGCCUUCGGGUUGUAAACUGCUUUUGUACGGAACGAAAAAGCUCUUACUAAUACUAGGAGUCCAUGACGGUACCGUAAGAAUAAGCACCGGCUAACUACGUGCCAGCCGCCGCUGUAA